GGCCGUCUUGGGCAUAGCAAUCACAAAACGAUAGAAUUUUCAAUUCUUGGAGAAAGAAGGAGGGGGGUCAGCAGAACUGAUACCUUAGACUUCCAGAGGUCAGACUUUGGCCUGUUUAGGAGCCUGGUUGACAGAGUCCCUUGGGAGGCAGUCCUGAAGGGCAAUGGAGUCCAGGAAGGCUGGAUGUUCUUCAAGAAGGAAAUCCUAAAGGCGCAGAAGCAGGCCGUCCCCAUGUGCCAAAAGAGGAGCUGGUGGGGAAGAAGACUGGCCUGGCUGAACAGAGAGCUUUGGCUGGAACUCAGGGAAAAAAGGAGAGUUUAUGACCUUUGGAAGAAGGGGCAGGCAACUCAGAAGGACUACAAGGAUGUCAUGAGGUUAUGAACAUCCCUGGAGGUAUUUAAAAGACAUGUAGAAUUUGUGCUUAGGGACAUGGUUUAGUGGUGGACUUGGCAGUGUUGUUUGCACUUGGACUUGAUGAUCUUAAAGGUCUUUUCCAACCUAACUGAUUCUAUGAUCAUAGAAGGCGUACCUUUGGUAUCCUUUAUUAGAAAUUUGCCUGCAUUAAAUAACUGACUUGUAUUAAUCAGUUCUAAAUUACUUACAAUAAGUUUCGUUGUAUAUAUUCUAUGUUUUCUCUCUUAAGAGUAUGAUUUCUUUCUUCAUAACUGUGAGGCUUUGAUACCAUGCAUUUCUUAGAACAAAUGUUCCAGGUAAGCUCAUCUUAUGAGGUGCCAGGCUUUGAUACCACGCAUUUCUCAGAACAAAUACUAUAGUUGAGUUCAGCUGAUGAUUGUUGUCAUCAGGAGCAAAAUCCAGACUUAGUCACCACCUUCUUAAAUCUCCACAUGCGUAUGACAUCAUUGGAUUUCACCUGCCUCCUGCAGAGACAAACAGAAAGAAAUACUGGAAUGCACAUAUCCAUUGGUAAGAAGUUACUCUGUUUUAUGGGGUUUAUGCCAAGUGACCACCAUGUUACAGAUCACUGUAAAGCAUCGUUGUGAAGUAGUGUUAGUGGGCUUUGGAGUCUCCAACACUGCAGGUAUGGAAAAGGAAGUUAGACAAAUACCAGCCCAGAAUAGUGUAGAUAUCAUUGAUCCUGCUUUGAGAGAGGUGAUAGACUAGAUGGCCACUUGGGUUUCCUUCUUCUCCAUUGAUUCUAUCAAUUCUUCUAUAAUCCAAGGAAAAUAAUUAUUAUACAAACAUCUGGUAGAGGAGAAGCUGAAACAGCAAGGCAAGAAUGACAAUGAGAAUACAAAAUGGCUAAAGGAAAGAAAGUAUGCUACCAUAGUUCAACAGACUGAGCAGACACUAAAGAAAAUAAGUGACUAUUUGUUUUUUCCUUUAGAGACAUUUGGAAGGAAACAAGAAAAAACAUGGAAAAGAAAAAUCAUGAAUUAUCCAAGUUGCAUUAAUAAUUCAUUUUAUUUUACCAGCCAAAUUCAGAUUUGUUUAAAAAAUAGUAUAUUUUCCCCAAAGAACAGUAAUGUAGCUGUGGUGAAAAUGUGCAUUUUGCUUACAAUUCAAACAAUGCCUUAUUGAAUUAAGUUUAUAGAUUGAAAAAGAGAAACACUAGAACACCUAUCGGGUGGAUUCACCAUGAAUCUUAGGUUGUCACAUUUAACCAUAUAUUCCAAGUUAAAUGGAAGUAUAAUGAGAGCAGAGAAAGACUUAGUAAGGAUAGAGAGUCUUAGUGAAAACAAUGCUGAAUGAGGCUGAUAAUUGAGUGUUUUACUGAAGUGUACUACACUGCUAAGACUUCACUGUGAGCACAUUUCAGGGAGAACAAGAACAAAAGUACAUCAUAAUAUAUGCAGUUGCUGCAGUUACUACUUAAGUAUUCACUCAUUAAAAUAAUAAAGAAAACCAACAAAUUGGUGUUACACUGGAAUGCAAGAAGAUGAGUAAACACUUGUGGAAAGAAUGCCUCCCUAAAAAGUCAAAGCGUGAGCCGUAUGCAUACCCUCUGCAAGAGACCUCAGAAUAUUCAUUAAAGGGGUUCCAAAGCAUGAAAUAGUUUGAAGGACUUCAGAAGUUUGGACCUCAUAAUUGUUCGCAGGAUAUUUUAUUACAUUUGUGCUUUUCAAGGCAAAUUUGGAGCAUGUACUUUGCAGCUGCUGGACUGUGUUCAGAGUUCUGCAAGGUGAGUACAAAGUCAAGAAGCUUGACAUAUUUCUUGUCUCUUCUCCUUUGUUUCAUAACUUCCUCAUUCCACCAGAAGUGAACGUGAACCUAUCUAAUAUUUCAUAGAGGUGGUAUAAGAAGAUGGAAAGGACAAUUUUACCUA